UGAACUCUGGCGGCGUGCCUAAUACAUGCAAGUCGAGCGAACGGACGAGAAGCUUGCUUCUCUGAUGUUAGCGGCGGACGGGUGAGUAACACGUGGAUAACCUACCUAUAAGACUGGGAUAACUUCGGGAAACCGUAGCUAAUACCGGAUAAUAUUUUGAACCGCAUGGUUCAAAAGUGAAAGACGGUCUUGCUGUCACUUAUAGAUGGAUCCGCGCUGCAUUAGCUAGUUGGUAAGGUAACGGCUUACCAAGGCAACGAUGCAUAGCCGACCUGAGAGGGUGAUCGGCCACACUGGAACUGAGACACGGUCCAGACUCCUACGGGAGGCAGCAGUAGGGAAUCUUCCGCAAUGGGCGAAAGCCUGACGGAGCAACGCCGCGUGAGUGAUGAAGGUCUUCGGAUCGUAAAACUCUGUUAUUAGGGAAGAACAUAUGUGUAAGUAACUGUGCACAUCUUGACGGUACCUAAUCAGAAAGCCACGGCUAACUACGUG
rnacentral:rRNA from 1 species